UACGUAGGGUGCAAGCGUUAAUCGGAAUUACUGGGCGUAAAGCGUGCGCAGGCGGUUUUGUAAGUUUGUCGUGAAAGCCCCGGGCUCAACCUGGGAAUUGCGAUGGUGACUGCAAGGCUAGAGUUUGGCAGAGGGGGGUAGAAUUCCACGUGUAGCAGUGAAAUGCGUAGAGAUGUGGAGGAACACCGAUGGCGAAGGCAGCCCCCUGGGUCAAAACUGACGCUCAUGCACGAAAGCGUGGGGAGCAAACAGG
rnacentral:rRNA from 1 species